rnacentral:rRNA from 1 species
GAUGAACGCUGGCGGCGUGCCUAAUACAUGCAAGUCGAGCGAACAGACGAGGAGCUUGCUCCUCUGACGUUAGCGGCGGACGGGUGAGUAACACGUGGAUAACCUACCUAUAAGACUGGGAUAACUUCGGGAAACCGGAGCUAAUACCGGAUAAUAUAUUGAACCGCAUGGUUCAAUAGUGAAAGACGGUUUUGCUGUCACUUAUAGAUGGAUCCGCGCCGCAUUAGCUAGUUGGUAAGGUAACGGCUUACCAAGGUAACGAUGCGUAGCCGACCUGAGAGGGUGAUCGGCCACACUGGAACUGAGACACGGUCCAGACUCCUACGGGAGGCAGCAGUAGGGAAUCUUCCGCAAUGGGCGAAAGCUUGACGGAGCAACGCCGCGUGAGUGAUGAAGGUCUUCGGAUCGUAAAACUCUGUUAUUAGGGAAGAACAAAUGUGUAAGUAACUAUGCACGUCUUGACGGUACCUAAUCAGAAAGCCACGGCUAACUACGUG